rnacentral:lncRNA from 1 species
GCGGGCGGGCGGGCACUGGUGAGAAGAGGAAGUGGGAGAGGCCUGGGAAGGAAACUUGGAAACCGAAAACUCGGCGGCCGAGGCUCCGUGCCCCGCGCGCAGCGCUGCUCCUGCCCCGGCCAAGGACGCACGGGCCAGCCGGCGGAACCAGAGGUUUUCAGUGAUGUUGAGAGUCAACAGGAAAUUAAUCAGCAAGUAGAAAAUUGAAAGAAGAUCUGCAUCUUACUGCAGGAGUCAUUAAAAUAAAAGCAGAUUUGGCAAAAUGGCAAGGGGGCAACUAUUGCAUCCAGAAAAAAAAAAAAUGAAGAUAAUGACUUCUCUGCAACUAAGAUGAAGAUCCACUGAACUUUGGGGUUUGAAAUGCAACGUUAGAACUUCAGACUCCCGGCACCUAGGUCUCCAGCUGCUGGGUGGUGCCAGCAUCAGAGAUACACUCUGCAAAACAUAUACUGUCUUAGGAAAAAGUGACCCUGUUGUCCUUUCAGGCCCAUAUUCCACAAGAAGACAAAUGGAGAUGUAAAAGGAAAACUGCAGCUCCGACUGAAGAGAGAGCAAGUUGUCUGUUCUGAUACAGCCAGGAAAUAAGAUGUUCUGGUUAAUAUGUGCUAAAGAUGUGGUGCUGACUUUCCGACUCAGAAUAUGAUCACAUGUUUUUCUCAUUAAAACUAUAUUGAAUAUUAUUUGACCAUUGUUGAGUCAGUCAUCUUGAUAAAUAUUAUCUUCGUACAGUCCUGAGCAGAGAGUCAGUGAC